rnacentral:lncRNA from 1 species
AAUAUGUUUAAUUAUUAGAAUCAAAUUGCUUCAGGGCUUGAAAUUGAAAUGUAGUAAAGUGUCUCUCUCUCCCUUUUAUUUUUUUAUUUUUAAGCCUUAUUUUCUGGGAAACACUAGGAUGGUGAAGGUCUGAUCACAGGUAAGAGACAGCUCAGGCUGGAAAGAUGAGAUAAUAGAGAAAAGCAACAACAGAAAAUUCCCCUCCAGAACCUACUCUGCCUGUUCAAUUUCUAUUCUGUCCAGAGGAGCUAUAAAACUGGAGAAAGGAAAGAUGCGCUGCUGGUAUGAAAAUUGCAUGUGCUGAACUUGGAUGGACAGAUUAAAAACACCCAGAACCAAACUUAUUCAUGGAGGAACCAGGUGAAAUUUCUUAUUCAGGUAUGUGCUGCACGGUGUAUCAGUGUAUUGAGGUUAGAUACAAACUCUGCUCAUGCUCUGAGGUGACCAAAAUCUGUAUGACCAGAGAAGUGUGCUGCAGCAUACUGGCGGUGAGCACCAGCUGAAGGCUUCUCUGGAUCCAUGCAUCCCACCUGGAGUUCAGGCACAGCUCACACGAUGACGUGAUGGGCAGAAGGGCUGUAGCUAUGAUUAAAGACUGCUUGCUAACCCAGUUCCUGUCUGCAGGAUUAGGUGUUGCAAAGUCUCCGACUAAAAAAAGACUUGAUAGGACACAAAAAUACAGGCUUUUGUGGAUAAUACCUCAGAACUGUCUUGUACAUGUCAAAUGGAUGAUGUAAACCAUGGAGGCUGUAAGUGUCCUAAAUGUCUCAGCACUGCAAUUGUGAGUAUUCAAACAAUAUGUUUUUCCCUUAAUUCUUUUUCAUAACCCUUUGGCAACAUUUAGCAGCUGAAUAGAAAGCAAACUCUUCUGAGCUCAGGAACCACUCUCAAAUCCCAAAUUACACUAAACAAGGUCAUUCUUGCACUUCUCAGCAUCUCCAGGAAAGUAUUUGCAUUCUUUCAGUCAAAAAAGAAUCCUCAAAGCCACUAUCCUUGCUUCUUUCACAUCUGGAUUUAGUCUUCUGACUUUCAGAAACCAGGCAACACAUUUCAGAUGCAACAUUUGUUUCUGAGAAAUAAAUUACAAUAGGGGUAUGUGAGCCUGAAUCCU